rnacentral:tRNA from 1 species
GGGCCGUUAGCUCAGUUGGUAGAGCACCUGCUUUGCAAGCAGGGGGUCGCAGGUUCGAAUCCUGUACGGUCCA